CUCCCUGAUCUAAAUUUGAUAAAUAAAUACACAGAACAAAGAGAAAUGCAAUUGGAAAAUACACUUCCCUUUCAUCAGGGACAUAUAUAUAUAUAUAUAUCUGCUUUCAUCAAUCUACAUUGACAUUGGACUCCUUGUAACACAUUUAAUUUAAAUUAAAACACUUUAACAGCAAGAAUUAAUACCAAAUUAUGAAACGAUCUGCAUACAUGGUUAGUAUAAUACUAUUAUAUAGAGUAAUGUCAUUGUUUGUUUCUCUCCAUUUUUGGUAAAAAAACAGUAUUAAUUCCAAUUUUAAUUUUUAAUUUUUUUUCGACCUCCUACCCUAUAUUUUUUCAUUAUUUUUAUUUUUAAUUUUUUUUCGACCUCCUACCCUUCCUUUUUUAAGAAAAAUCC
rnacentral:lncRNA from 1 species